CACGUCUCGGCCACGACCCCUGACUCUCGCCCCUAACACCAGCCUCGACUCCUCUACGACACCGCCGCCGCCCCUGAGUAUCGCCCCCAACCCCAGCCCCGACUCCGACACGAGAAAAAGAUUGAGGAGCUACACAAGAAGAAGGCAUGUGCAAGCUGUUGCUGUGGGGUUGGAGAUUAUAAUGUUUCUGAGAUUAACAUAUUUGUAAUGUGAUCAAAUAUCAACUUGUGUGAUCAUUUAUGUAAUAUUCUGUGGUUUGUGUAUUUUGUGUAUAAGACCAUAGUUUGAUGUGGGGAUUUUGUUGAGCAGUGGUCUUAUGUGAUCAUAUAUGUAAUAUUCGCUGAUAUCAUACUAUUGUAAUGGAGGUGCACGUAUGUGCCAAUGAAGAAGGAUGAACUGAACUCCUUUAUUAUCCUUCCCUUUACAGUGUUCUAUAUUGGUUGUAGGUUCUAUAUUGUAAAGAAAGGAAGAAUAUAUUGGUUGUAGGUUCUAUAUUGUAAAGAAA